rnacentral:rRNA from 1 species
AACGAACGCUGGCGGCAGGCCUAACACAUGCAAGUCGAGCGAGGACUUCGGUUCUAGCGGCGGACGGGUGAGUAACGCGUGGGAAUGUGCCCUUCUCUACGGAAUAGCCCUGGGAAACUGGGAGUAAUACCGUAUACGCCCUAUUGGGGAAAGAUUUAUCGGAGAAGGAUCAGCCCGCGUUGGAUUAGGUAGUUGGUGGGGUAAUGGCCUACCAAGCCGACGAUCCAUAGCUGGUUUGAGAGGAUGAUCAGCCACACUGGGAUUGAGACACGGCCCAGACUCCUACGGGAGGCAGCAGUGGGGAAUCUUAGACAAUGGGGGCAACCCUGAUCUAGCCAUGCCGCGUGAGUGAUGAAGGCCUUAGGGUUGUAAAGCUCUUUCAGCUGGGAAGAUAAUGACGGUACCAGCAGAAGAAGCCCCGGCUAACUCCGUG